CCUACGGGAGGCAGCAGUGGGGAAUAUUGCACAAUGGGCGCAAGCCUGAUGCAGCCAUGCCGCGUGUAUGAAGAAGGCCUUCGGGUUGUAAAGUACUUUCAGCGGGGAGGAAGGGGGUAAAGUUAAUACCUUUGCUCAUUGACGUUACCCGCAGAAGAAGCACCGGCUAACUCCGUGCCAGCAGCCGCGGUAAU
rnacentral:rRNA from 1 species